UACGUAGGGCGCAAGCGUUGUCCGGAAUUAUUGGGCGUAAAGAGCUUGUAGGCGGUCUGUCGCGUCUGCUGUGAAAAUCCGGGGCUCAACCCCGGACUUGCAGUGGGUACGGGCAGACUAGAGUGCGGUAGGGGAGACUGGAAUUCCUGGUGUAGCGGUGAAAUGCGCAGAUAUCAGGAGGAACACCGGUGGCGAAGGCGGGUCUCUGGGCCGUAACUGACGCUGAGGAGCGAAAGCAUGGGGAGCGAACAGG
rnacentral:rRNA from 1 species